UACGUAGGGGGCUAGCGUUGUCCGGAUUUAUUGGGCGUAAAGAGCGUGUAGGCGGCCAGGUAGGUCUGCUGUGAAAACUCGAGGCUCAACCUCGAGACGUCGGCGGAAACCAUCUGGCUAGAGUCCGGAAGAGGAGAGUGGAAUUCCUGGUGUAGCGGUGAAAUGCGCAGAUAUCAGGAAGAACACCCGUGGCGAAGGCGGCUCUCUGGGCCGUGACUGACGCUGAGGAACGAAAGCCAGGGGAGCGAACGGG
rnacentral:rRNA from 1 species